GGGCAGAGGGAUCCUGCUCCCCUCGUCACCGCUGCUUCUCUCUGCUGCCUGCUGAAGAGGGCAGGAAGGAGCCUGUGAGCCGUCUGGAGAAGCCUCGCCUGAGCCUGCUGGAGAUGCCUGAGGAGUCCUCUUCUUCCAGCAGGUUCCUUUGCCUCUGCAGCUCCCUGGCAGCUCUGGAGAAGGAUGGGACCUGGCUUCACGGAUGCCCUUUGGCUCUCUGACCUCCGGAGGAUGAGUUCUGCUCACGUCCAAGCUGGGGUUUGGCACCCAGCUGGGGUUUAGCUGCAGCCACGCUCCAGCCCCCAGCUGGGCUGUGUUGGUGGCACAGGCACUGAGUAGGUGACUGCUCCGUGUGUGCCAGCACAGCACUGCCAGGUGCUCUUCCCAGUGCUCCACAGGCUGUGCAGGGGGCUUAGGUCUAACCCUUUUGCCUUCUUUAGCUCCAUGAAGUAUGGAGAUGUCUGGGGUUGAAGUCA